CUGAAAAAUCAAAACUUGGUCAUUCCA
rnacentral:misc_RNA from 1 species